AUUGAACGCUGGCGGCAUGCCUUACACAUGCAAGUCGAACGGUAACAGGUCUUCGGAUGCUGACGAGUGGCGAACGGGCGAGUAAUACAUCGGAACGUGCCUAGUAGUGGGGGAUAACUACUCGAAAGAGUGGCUAAUACCGCAUGAGAUCUACGGAUGAAAGCAGGGGAUCGCAAGACCUUGUGCUACUAGAGCGGCCGAUGGCAGAGUAGGUAGUUGGUGGGAUAAAAGCUUACCAAGCCGACGAGCUGUAGCUGGCCUGAGAGGCCGAUCAGCCACACUGGGACUGGAGCACGGGCCAGACUCCUACGGGAGGCAGCAGUGGGGAAUUUUGGACAAGGGGCGCAAGCCUGAUCCAGCAAUGCCGCGUGCAGGAUGAAGGCCUUCGGGUUGUAAACUGCUUUUGUACGGAACGAAAAGCCCUGGGUUAAUACCCUGGGGUCAUGAUGGUACCGUAAGAAUAAGCACCGGCUAACUACGUGCCAGCCGCCGCCGUAA
rnacentral:rRNA from 1 species